CCUACGGGAGGCAGCAGUGGGGAAUAUUGCACAAUGGGGGAAACCCUGAUGCAGCGACGCCGCGUGAGUGAAGAAGUAUUUCUGUAUUGAAAGCUCUAUCAGCAGGGAAGAAAUAUCUACCUUUUGUUCGCCAGACGGUACCUGAUUAAGAAGCGCCUGCUAACUACGUGCCAGCAGCCGCGGUAAUACGUAGGGGGCAAGCGUUAUCCGGAUUUACUGGGUGUAAAGGGAGCGUAGACGGCAGCGCAAGUCUGAAGUGAAAUGCCGGGGCUUAACCCCGGAACUGCUUUGGAAACUGUGCAGCUAGAGUGCAGGAGAGGUAAGUGGAAGUCCUAGGGUAGCGGUGAAAUGCGUAGAUAUUAGGAGGAACACCAGUGGCGAAGGCGGCUUACUGGACUGUAACUGACGUUGAGGCUCGAAAGCGUGGGGAGCAAACAGGAUUAGAUACCCUAGUAGUC
rnacentral:rRNA from 1 species